GGCUUGGUGGCGGAGUGGUCCGUGUCUGCGGUUCAUGCAGGCCCUGAACCAUAACAUAAGCAGAAGAUGCUUGUUCAAAUCAAGCCCGGGCCC